UACGAAGGGGGCUAGCGUUGCUCGGAAUCACUGGGCGUAAAGCGCACGUAGGCGGCUUUUUAAGUCAGGGGUGAAAUCCUGGAGCUCAACUCCAGAACUGCCUUUGAUACUGAGAAGCUUGAGUCCGGGAGAGGUGAGUGGAACUGCGAGUGUAGAGGUGAAAUUCGUAGAUAUUCGGCGGAACACCAGUGGCGAAGGCGACUCACUGGCCCGAUACUGACGCUGAGGCGCGAAAGCGUGGGGAGCAAACAGG
rnacentral:rRNA from 1 species